GGGAUCUUGGCCGAGCGGUCUAAGGCGCUGCAUUCAAGUCGCAGUUCUUCACAGAGCAUGGGUUCGAACCCCAUAGAUCUCA
rnacentral:tRNA from 1 species